AGAGUUUGAUCAUGGCUCAGAUUGAACGCUGGCGGCAGGCCUAACACAUGCAAGUCGAACGGUAACAGGAAUCAGCUUGCUGAUUCGCUGACGAGUGGCGGACGGGUGAGUAAUGUCUGGGAAACUGCCUGAUGGAGGGGGAUAACUACUGGAAACGGUAGCUAAUACCGCAUAAUGUCGCAAGACCAAAGAGGGGGACCUUCGGGCCUCUUGCCAUCGGAUGUGCCCAGAUGGGAUUAGCUUGUUGGUGGGGUAACGGCUCACCAAGGCGACGAUCCCUAGCUGGUCUGAGAGGAUGACCAGCCACACUGGAACUGAGACACGGUCCAGACUCCUACGGGAGGCAGCAGUGGGGAAUAUUGCACAAUGGGCGCAAGCCUGAUGCAGCCAUGCCGCGUGUAUGAAGAAGGCCUUCGGGUUGUAAGUACUUUCAGCGGGGAGGAAGGGAGUAAAGUUAAUACCUUUGCUCAUUGACGUUACCCGCAGAAGAAGCACCGGCUAACUCCGUGCCAGCAGCCGCGGUAAUACGGAGGGUGCAAGCGUUAAUCGGAAUUACUGGGCGUAAAGCGCACGCAGGCGGUUUGUUAAGUCAGAUGUGAAAUCCCCGGGCUCAACCUGGGAACUGCAUCUGAUACUGGCAAGCUUGAGUCUCGUAGAGGGGGGUAGAAUUCCAGGUGUAGCGGUGAAAUGCGUAGAGAUCUGGAGGAAUACCGGUGGCGAAGGCGGCCCCCUGGACGAAGACUGACGCUCAGGUGCGAAAGCGUGGGGAGCAAACAGGAUUAGAUACCCUGGUAGUCCACGCCGUAAACGAUGUCGACUUGGAGGUUGUGCCCUUGAGGCGUGGCUUCCGGAGCUAACGCGUUAAGUCGACCGCCUGGGGAGUACGGCCGCAAGGUUAAAACUCAAAUGAAUUGACGGGGGCCCGCACAAGCGGUGGAGCAUGUGGUUUAAUUCGAUGCAACGCGAAGAACCUUACCUGGUCUUGACAUCCACGGAAGUUUUCAGAGAUGAGAAUGUGCCUUCGGGAACCGUGAGACAGGUGCUGCAUGGCUGUCGUCAGCUCGUGUUGUGAAAUGUUGGGUUAAGUCCCGCAACGAGCGCAACCCUUAUCCUUUGUUGCCAGCGGUCCGGCCGGGAACUCAAAGGAGACUGCCAGUGAUAAACUGGAGGAAGGUGGGGACGACGUCAAGUCAUCAUGGCCCUUACGACCAGGGCUACACACGUGCUACAAUGGCGCAUACAAAGAGAAGCGACCUCGCGAGAGCAAGCGGACCUCAUAAAGUGCGUCGUAGUCCGGAUUGGAGUCUGCAACUCGACUCCAUGAAGUCGGAAUCGCUAGUAAUCGUGGAUCAGAAUGCCACGGUGAAUACGUUCCCGGGCCUUGUACACACCGCCCGUCACACCAUGGGAGUGGGUUGCAAAAGAAGUAGGUAGCUUAACCUUCGGGAGGGCGCUUACCACUUUGUGAUUCAUGACUGGGGUGAAGUCGUAACAAGGUAACCGUAGGGGAACCUGCGGUUGGAUCACCU
rnacentral:rRNA from 1 species